UACGUAGGGACCAAGCGUUGUUCGGAUUUACUGGGCGUAAAGGGCGCGUAGGCGGCAUGACAAGUCACUUGUGAAAUCUCUGGGCUUAACCCAGAACGGCCAAAGUGAUACUGUCGCGCUAGAGUGCGGAAGGGGCAAUCGGAAUUCUCGGUGUAGCGGUGAAAUGCGUAGAUAUCGAGAGGAACACCUGAGGUGAAGACGGGUUGCUGGGCCGACACUGACGCUGAGUGCGCGAAAGCCAGGGGAGCAAACGGG
rnacentral:rRNA from 1 species